AGGGUUCCGGUUCACGUCUGACUUCCGAUCAGAUACGGGCGACCCGGCGGCC
rfam:Mycobacterium noviomagense strain DSM 45145 NODE_2_length_236058_cov_9.40694, whole genome shotgun sequence.